AAAAAUGAAGAAAAUUUUACAUUUUCUCAAACAGGGUAUGGAACUUGGUUCCUCGAAUAACUUCUGACAUAGACAUCUGAGGGCAUGGCCGUCCAAGAAGAAAAUGUAGCCAUUGGUGCCAUCUAUCGACCACAGGUUAAAGAUUGGCGAUCCGUUGGAUACCGACCGAGUUAUAGGCAAAACUUGGUGCAAAAAUGAGCCUAGGAGAUAGGUAAUUUUAUAGAUUUUUUUGUUAUUUUAUUAUAAUUUUUCAAUAUUUUUCAAUUUAAAGCAUUAUUUGAGUGAAAAGAAACUUAUUUGAACCAAUUGGCAUUAAAAAACAUCAAUUUAAUUUUUUUUGCAAAAUUUCUCAAAAAAAUGGCAAGGGGUACCCCUUAUGAAAUUUUCGAGUGCAAAUUUUUUUUAAAUUUUUUUCUGAUUGUUUAUUCUUUUUUUAAUUUAAAGCAUUAUUUGAGUGAAAAGAAACUUAUUGCAACAAAUUCGCAUUAAAAUAUAUCACAUUUAAAAAUUUUGCUAAAUGGUGCAAAAAUGAGGAAAAUUUUACAUUUUCUCAAACGGGGUAAGGAACUUGGUUCCUCGAAUAACUUCUGACAUAGACAUCUGAGGGCAUGGCCGUCCAAGAAGAAAAUGUAGACAUUGGUGCCAUCUAUCGACCACAGGUUAAAGAUUGGCGAUCCGUUGGAUAUCGACCGAGUUAUAGGCAAAAUUUGGUGCAAAAAUGAGCCUAGGAGAUAGGUAAUUUUAUAGAUUUUUUUGUUAUUUUAUUACAAUUUUUCAAUAUUUUUCAAUUUAAAGCAUUAUUUGAGUGAAAAGAAACUUAUUUGAACCAAUUGGCAUUAAAAAAAAUCAAUUUAAUUUUUUUUGCAAAAUUUCUUAAAAAAAUGGCAAGGGGUACCCCUUAUGAAAUUUUCGAGUGCAAAUUUUUUUUUAAAUUUUUUUCUGAUUGUUUAUUCUUUUUUUAAUUUAAAGCAUUAUUUGAGUGAAAAGAAACUUAUUGCAACAAAUUCGCAUUAAAAUAUAUCACAUUUAAAAAUGGUGCAAAAAUGAGGGAAAUUUUACAUUUUCUCAAACAGGGUAAGGAACUUGGUUCCUCGAAUAACUUCUGACAUAGACAUCUGAGGGCAUGGCCGUCCAAGAAGAAAAUGUAGCCAUUGGUGUCAUCUAUCGACCACAGGUUAAAGAUUGGCGAUCCGUUGGAUAUCGACCGAGUUAUAGGCAAAAUUUGGUGCAAAAAUGAAGAAAAUUUUACAUUUUCUCAAACAGGGCAAGGAACUUGGUUCCUCGAAUAACUUUUGGCACAGACAUCUGAGGGCAUGGCCGCCCAAGAAGAAAAUGUAGCCAUUGGUGCCAUCUAUCGACCACAGGUUAAAGAUUGGCGAUCCGUUGGAUAUCGACCGAGUUAUAGGCAAAAUUUGGUGCAAAAAUGAAGAAAAUUUUACAUUUUCUCAAACAGGGUAAGGAACUUGGUUCCUCGAAUAACUUCUGACAUAGACAUCUGAGGGCAUGGCCGUCCAAGAAGAAAAUGUAGCCAUUGGUGCCAUCUAUCGACCACAGGUUAAAGAUUGGCGAUCCGUUGGAUAUCGACCGAGUUAUAGGCAAAAUUUGGUGCAAAAAUGAGCCUAGGAGAUAGGUAAUUUUAUAGAUUUUUUUGUUAUUUUAUUACAAUUUUUCAAUAUUUUUCAAUUUAAAGCAUUAUUUGAGUGAAAAGAAACUUAUUUGAACCAAUUGGCAUUAAAAAAAAUCAAUUUAAUUUUUUUUGCAAAAUUUCUCAAAAAAAUGGCAAGGGGUACCCCUUAUGAAAUUUUCGAGUGCAAAUUUUUUUUUAAAUUUUUUUCUGAUUUUUUAUUCUUUUUUUAAUUUAAAGCAUUAUUUGAGUGAAAAGAAACUUAUUGCAACAAAUUCGCAUUAAAAUAUAUCACAUUUAAAAAUUUUGCUAAAUGGUGCAAAAAUGAGGAAAAUUUUACAUUUUCUCAAACAGGGUAAGAAACUUGGUUCCUCGAAUAACUUCUGACAUAGACAUCUGAGGGCAUGGCCGUCCAAGAAGAAAAUGUAGCCAUUGGUGCCAUCUAUCGACCACAGGUUAAAGAUUGGCGAUCCGUUGGAUACCGACCGAGUUAUAGGCAAAACUUGGUGCAAAAAUGAGCCUAGGAGAUAGGUAAUUUUAUAGAUUUUUUUGUUAUUUUAUUACAAUUUUUCAAUAUUUUUCAAUUUAAAGCAUUAUUUGAGUGAAAAGAAACUUAUUUGAACCAAUUGGCAUUAAAAAAAAUCAAUUUAAUUUUUUUUGCAAAAUUUCUCAAAAAAAUGGCAAGGGGUACCCCUUAUGAAAUUUUCGAGUGCAAAUUUUUUUUUAAAUUUUUUUCUGAUUUUUUAUUCUUUUUUUAAUUUAAAGCAUUAUUUGAGUGAAAAGAAACUUAUUGCAACAAAUUCGCAUUAAACUAUAUCACAUUUAAAAAUUUUGCUAAAUGGUGCAAAAAUGAGGGAAAUUUUACAUUUUCUCAAACAGGGUAAGGAACUUGGUUCCUCGAAUAACUUCUGACAUAGACAUCUGAGGGCAUGGCCGUCCAAGAAGAAAAUGUAGCCAUUGGUGUCAUCUAUCGACCACAGGUUAAAGAUUAGCGAUCCGUUGGAUACCGACCGAGUUAUAGGCAAAACUUGGUGCAAAAAUGAGCCUAGGAGAUAGGUAAUUUUAUAGAUUUUUUUGUUAUUUUAUUGCAAUUUUUCAAUAUUUUUCAAUUUAAAGCAUUACUUGAGUGAAAAGAAACUUAUUUGAACCAAUUGGCAUUAAAAAAAAUCAAUUUAAUUUUUUUUGCAAAAUUUCUCAAAAAAAUGGCAAGGGGUACCCCUUAUGAAAUUUUCGAGUGCAAAUUUUUUUUAAAAUUUUUUUCUGAUUUUUUAUUCUUUUUUUAAUUUAAAGCAUUAUUUGAGUGAAAAGAAACUUAUUGCAACAAAUUCGCAUUAAAAUAUAUCACAUUUAAAAAUUUUGCUAAAUGGUGCAAAAAUGAGGGAAAUUUUACAUUUUCUCAAACAGGGUAAGGAACUUGGUUCCUCGAAUAACUUCUGACAUAGACAUCUGAGGGCAUGGCCGUCCAAGAAGAAAAUGUAGCCAUUGGUGUCAUCUAUCGACCACAGGUUAAAGAUUGGCGAUCCGUUGGAUAUCGACCGAGUUAUAGGCAAAAUUUGGUGCAAAAAUGAAGAAAAUUUUACAUUUUCUCAAACAGGGUAAGGAACUUGGUUCCUCGAAUAACUUCUGACAUAGACAUCUGAGGGCAUGGCCGUCCAAGAAGAAAAUGUAGCCAUUGGUGCCAUCUAUCGACCACAGGUUAAAGAUUGGCGAUCCGUUGGAUAUCGACCGAGUUAUAGGCAAAAUUUGGUGCAAAAAUGAAGAAAAUUUUACAUUUUCUCAAACAGGGUAAGGAACUUGGUUCCUCGAAUAACUUCUGACAUAGACAUCUGAGGGCAUGGCCGUCCAAGAAGAAAAUGUAGCCAUUGGUGCCAUCUAUCGACCACAGGUUAAAGAUUGGCGAUCCGUUGGAUAUCGACCGAGUUAUAGGCAAAAUUUGGUGCAAAAAUGAGCCUAGGAGAUAGGUAAUUUUAUAGAUUUUUUUGUUAUUUUAUUACAAUUUUUCAAUAUUUUUCAAUUUAAAGCAUUAUUUGAGUGAAAAGAAACUUAUUUGAACCAAUUGGCAUUAAAAAAAAUCAAUUUAAUUUUUUUUGCAAAAUUUCUCAAAAAAAUGGCAAGGGGUACCCCUUAUGAAAUUUUCGAGUGCAAAUUUUUUUUUAAAUUUUUUUCUGAUUUUUUAUUCUUUUUUUAAUUUAAAGCAUUAUUUGAGUGAAAAGAAACUUAUUGCAACAAAUUCGCAUUAAAAUAUAUCACAUUUAAAAAUUUUGCUAAAUGGUGCAAAAAUGAGGGAAAUUUUACAUUUUCUCAAACAGGGUAAGGAACUUGGUUCCUCGAAUAACUUCUGACAUAGACAUCUGAGGGCAUGGCCGUCCAAGAAGAAAAUGUAGCCAUUGGUGUCAUCUAUCGACCACAGGUUAAAGAUUGGCGAUCCGUUGGAUAUCGACCGAGUUAUAGGCAAAAUUUGGUGCAAAAAUGAAGAAAAUUUUACAUUUUCUCAAACAGGGCAAGGAACUUGGUUCCUCGAAUAACUUUUGGCACAGACAUCUGAGGGCAUGGCCGUCCAAGAAGAAAAUGUAGCCAUUGGUGCCAUCUAUCGACCACAGGUUAAAGAUUGGCGAUCCGUUGGAUAUCGACCGAGUUAUAGGCAAAAUUUGGUGCAAAAAUGAAGAAAAUUUUACAUUUUCUCAAACAGGGUAAGGAACUUGGUUCCUCGAAUAACUUCUGACAUAGACAUCUGAGGGCAUGGCCGUCCAAGAAGAAAAUGUAGCCAUUGGUGCCAUCUAUCGACCACAGGUUAAAGAUUGGCGAUCCGUUGGAUACCGACCGAGUUAUAGGCAAAACUUGGUGCAAAAAUGAGCCUAGGAGAUAGGUAAUUUUAUAGAUUUUUUUGUUAUUUUAUUGCAAUUUUUCAAUAUUUUUCAAUUUAAAGCAUUACUUGAGUGAAAAGAAACUUAUUUGAACCAAUUGGCAUUAAAAAAAAUCAAUUUAAUUUUUUUUGCAAAAUUUCUCAAAAAAAUGGCAAGGGGUACCCCUUAUGAAAUUUUCGAGUGCAAAUUUUUUUUAAAAUUUUUUUCUGAUUUUUUAUUCUUUUUUUAAUUUAAAGCAUUAUUUGAGUGAAAAGAAACUUAUUGCAACAAAUUCGCAUUAAAAUAUAUCACAUUUAAAAAUUUUGCUAAAUGGUGCAAAAAUGAGGAAAAUUUUACAUUUUCUCAAACAGGGUAAGGAACUUGGUUCCUCGAAUAACUACUGACACAGACAUCUGAGGGCAUGGCCGUCCAAGAAGAAAAUGUAGCCAUUGGUGCCAUCUAUCGACCACAGGUUAAAGAUUGGCGAUCCGUUGGAUAUCGACCGAGUUAUAGGCAAAAUUUGGUGCAAAAAUGAAGAAAAUUUUACAUUUUCUCAAACAGGGUAAGGAACUUGGUUCCUCGAAUAACUUCUGACAUAGACAUCUGAGGG